rnacentral:misc_RNA from 1 species
AGCUGAACUUGUUUUGUUUAUAUGGUAUCAGAGCACUGUCCAACGAGAUUGUUGAUCCACCAGAAUCAAUUUCUUCCCCCUUUGCUCCUUCCUUCUCCUCCUCCCUCUCGUUUUUGUUGGAAUCCCACGUUGGAAAUGUAAUAUAUGAAAUGAAAGGCAAAAUAUAAAUGAUUGGGUUGCAACAAUGUAUUAGCUAGUGAAGCAACUCAAUUACUGCCUGUAUUAAAAU